AAUAGUUCCACAGAGCUGCCGCUGUUUGCCCUCUGAGGGUUUUAAACUGGAAUCUCCAGAACCUCUUCUAAAUCAGAGCUGGGUCAAACGAUUUCACGAAGGAUCUACAGGAAAAAAAAUGAACUCACUAAAUAAUUUUUUAUUCCAUAUCUCGUUUCUAAAACCUCAUAAUUAAGAAAGAAACUGAAGAAAAGGUUAUAAAAGUUAACAUCCCUGUGAACAAUCUUCCUCUAUUUUGUAUGUGGGUCGCCACCAGAUCGUGGCUGACAAGUAGUGUAGGUCCGUGCCCAAGAUCCAAACCCAUGAACCUGGGCCACUGAAGCGGAGUGCAUGAACUUAAUCACUGUGCCGCAGGGCCAGCCCAGCCUUACUCUUUCAGUUUUAUAAGGAUUACAAGCUUGCCCCUUCUCUCCCCUACCACCAAAGCAUAACCUGUGUCCUACAGUCUGCUCCCAUUAUUUCCC
rnacentral:lncRNA from 1 species